rnacentral:lncRNA from 1 species
ACUGUAGGGAAGGCCUACUUCCUGGCACUGAAAGUAGCCAGUCUUGGCGUGAACAGCCCCUGACAAUCCCCAGCAUAUGGUAAGAGAAGGUGCCGCUGCCCACCCAUCAGGAACUUUUCUUUCUAGGUAAUGAAGAAUACUAUGCCUUCUUCAAAUUGUCAUGAAAUUCGUAUAAAAAAGUCUGAAUUAAUGAGCUUUUGCUACAUUUGAACACAAGCUGAGGACUGAUAUCAGAUAAUCUUAAGAUUCUGAACCCAUAGCAAUUAUGCUUGUAUCUUCAGUGGUGUCAUCCUGAAUUAAACAUUGGCAAGCUUUAUUGAGGAUACCUCAGCAGAAUUCUUAAUUUGGAGAGACUAUCAAAUAAGGUUCUUGAAGAUAAAGAAGUCACUUUGGGCUGAGGGAGAAAUACAGCAUUUCCCUGAGAAACAGAAGUGUUUGAGAUUCUCUUGGAGGGCCUGGAAAGCACGUCAGACACAUGCCCGCCUGUAGAGCAUUUCCUGCCUAAUUUUAUGGUGCCAAGGGACCACGGUAGAGUCCAAAACAUCCUUAUAUCUUCCUCACGAACCAUUCACCCUGACUUGGUGGUUUAUUUUCUGCUUCACCGUACUGUGCUCUCUGGCAUCUUCAGAUUCAGUCCAGAGCUUCAUAACACUUCCUCCAACCACAGACUUUGCACACAGCCAAGCAUCCCACUGUGUGUGCACUGACCCAUUGAGCUUCAGGCUACUACAGGUAUCGCCUUAUUGUCAAACACACAUGCAAGCCCUUGGACGGGAGAUAUUUCACAGUACCUGAUUUACUUCUAUGAAAGUUUAUGUGUCAUAAAUUUUUUUCUUCCCUGUGGUUUUCAAAGGAGAUAGUUGUAACAAUACGGAAAAAUACCUAAAAUGUGUGGUGGAAUUUCCUUCACAAAGAAGAGAUUCUAGCACUUAUAGUAAGCUCCUAUUGAAAGCCAUAUACAAUGUUCAGAACCAAUGAGUAAGAAUCAUUUAUUUUAUGGAGUUCAUAGGAAACUGAGAAAACAGACAUGCCUACAACAGAGAGAUUUUUUAUCACAUAAAUUGUGCUAAGUGGUGUGAAACCCUGAGAAAUAGUAACUGUUCUUAUCAGUUUCAUGGAAAUGUGACAGUGAAUUAAGACCUUGAAGGUUAAGCAGACUUUGCUAGAAAGACACAAAGGAUAGUAGAUUUGGGUGGGGAAGAGAGACAGUGGGCAAAAACUCUGUGAGCUGAUAUCUGUAGUUAACAGCACCUAGUAAGAAGGAUGUAUACUGCUGGGGAAAAUGAUGAAGAAAUUAGGAAUAACUGAACCUAAUUUUUUGUUGAGUGAAUAGCAGCAGUACAUAGCAACUAGUGAUGACAUUUGGGAAAUGAACUUGGCAGAGUCCACAGAUGCAUAGAUAAAGGAAAAAAUGUGGUGCUUGUCUUUCUGUGCAUGGCUUAUUUCACGUAGCAGAAUAAUCUCCAGUUCCAGCCAUGCUGCUGCAAAUGAUAAAAUUUCCAUCUUUGUAGAGGCUGCAUAAUAUUUCAUCACGAACAAGUACUGCAGUUCCUUGUCCUUUCAUCUGUUGAUGGACACUUAGGCUGAACCAUUCCUUGGAUAUUGUGAAUAGUACUACAGUGAAUGUGCAAGUGUAGAUUUCUUUCUGCCAUGCUGAUUUCACUUUUGAAAUUUCUUUCAAAAUGACAGUGACUAAACCUAUCACGUGUUAACACCAGAGCAAUAAUGUCACCGUCUGUCGUGUAGCUUCUGAAAGAUUCUACUGUACAGAUUUGAGAAAUGAAAGUAGGAAAGGGAAAAAGUAUUAGUAUUACAAUGAAAGUACUUUUGACCUCAUAAAUCCCUGAAAGGGAGUCAGGGUCUCAGAGAGAUUCCUGGACCACAGUUUGAGAAUUACUGUACUAGGACAAGAGCUUUAAGAGGAAAAGAAAUGAAAGUAGUAAGCUUCAAUUAGAGCCCAAACUACAGAAGAAUUAUGACUGUUUGGAUAACAUUAGCUUUACCAACAUUUGUUGCCAGAUGCCAAGUUCAUAUUAUCUCAUUUCAAGUUCA